GGCAGCAUGGCCGAGUGGUCUAAGGCGUUUGACUUGAAUUAUCUUCAACUCAUCAAAUCUCUUCGGAGGCGUGUGUUCGAACCACACUGCUGUCG
rnacentral:tRNA from 1 species